GUCUUCAUUCCUGAUUGGUUCAUUGGUGUCUGCAGCCUCUUCUGGCUAUGCCAUGCAGGGCCCUCUGCUGGGCUAUGUGGAAAAUUCCAUCCAGAAAAUUUUCUGGGAAGAAGCCAUGCGUGGAGAAGGUAGGAGCGAAAAGCUGAGCACUAAAGAAAACGACUAAAUAUUCAUUUGAUUCUGUAUAUAGGUUGGAAACUGUUUGAAAGAUGUGUUUAGGUCACCAAAUUAGAAAACUCAUUUCCUCACUUUGUGUUGGUUAGCAACACCCGAGAUGUAUUGAAUGUGACUUUAUAUUUUAAAUGAUUAAAAGGGUACAUUUUUGUCAUCACCUGAAAAGCAAAACUAUAUAAUUUUCAGCAUCCACAAUUUUAUUGUCUUCAGAAUCUUAAUUAACUUUUUUAUGUUUUUUUAAAAAUAUUAAGCUUUGUAUCUUGCUGGGGUAGUAUAAAUUAUGUCCUGUGGCUUAGUUUUCUUCUCAGAAUCACUUGACUCCAGCUCUAACAGCAGAAUUUGGGUCCAUGUCUCUUGAGGUUGAAGAAUGAAGUCCAGGACAAAGAAGGUAGACAGGAGGAGUGUUUAUUAAGAAGAGAGAAAUAGCUCAAGAUAGUUGUGAGGGAACCAAAAAGUGGGUUGCCAUGGGGACUCUUUGUCUAGGAGUUUUUAUUACAAAAAAUGACCGGGGCUUAGAUCACUCUGAGUCAAAGUAAGGUCAACCUAUAGGACUAAAACAAGCUUACUUAAACUAGAAAUGGGCCUAUGAGGAAUCUAGACAUGUUGCAAGUGUAUAUUUGUGGGCGCCUCUUGGCCUCUUUCCUACCCAAGUGAUUCAUUAAAAGAGCAGUGAGAAGGAAAAGACAUUUUCCAGAUAGGUAGGAGCAGAAGUUGUCAUAGUGGUCAUCUACCACCUUGCUUGAUACCUUCCAGGACUUAACUGUCCACCUGGCUCUCAUUAACUCUUAACCUCAAGCUCCUGCCUAUCUGAACAAGGCCUGGCCAUCCUGACUCUACCUUGGGCCCAGUCCCUCCUUAGCUGCCUGCUAUCUCCUGUCUUAAGUUGCUUGUCUAUAAUGCACCUGCACAGUGGAGCAGAGGAUGUCAUGAAACCAUUUGUGUAGAUUACAGGCUUGAAAGCCUUCAGUAAGAAUCUUAAACAUUAUCAGUGUUGAUGCAGGUUCAGUCUUUGCUCCUCAUAUAACCUAUUUGGUUAAGAUAUUAAUAAAAAGAGAAGAGGUAAUUACUAACUAGAUUACAGUAUAGACUUCCAUAUAAUGAGAUACUAAUACAUCCAUUAAAAAUAAUGCACUGGGCCAAGGCAUGUGGCUCAUUGGUAGAGUACUUGCUUAGCAUAUUCAGUGUCCUGGGUUCAAUCCCCAGCACCAUGGUGGGGGAAGAGUGGUGGUGGUGGAAUGCAUUAACUUGGAAAGAGCCCAUUAUUUUAUUCCCAAGUGAACAAAAAUAACUUGCAGAGCAGUAAGUGCUCACUGAUCUUAUUUUAGUUAAAAUAAUUACCUUGGUAUAAGAACAGUAAAAAGUUUAGAAGCACAUGCAAAAAAUUAAAUUUUAGGGGGCCUACUGCAACAAUGUUUUUCAUAAUUUCUAAUUUGUUAAUUGUAAAUAUAUUUGCCCUUAUUUUUAAUUUAAUUGUUCCAAGGUUUUUUUCUUUCUUUUAGAUUUUGUUUUUGUUUUACAUUCAAAGCUUCUAUCCAGGUGGAAUUUUUUUGGUGUGAGGAAUGAUAUAUAAACUUUUCCUGGUUUUUUUCCCCAAGUAACUUCUAGAACACCCUACAAAUAUUUGAAAGUAACUUGAAUUUCUUAGGAAAAUAACACAGAGAAAACAAUGACAACUUUUAAGAAAGAAAAUUUUCAGAACCCUUUAAAAGUUUGCAGUUUAUAAGUGGUGAGCUGUAGAAGAAGAAAAGCCAGAGGACAGGCAACUAAUCCAAGCAUCACCAAAAAUAGAACCAUGUCAGGACAUUACUGGAAUAGGGAAAAGGCAUAGCAACUUGGCAUUGUGAUACAUGCUAUUUUGGCAUCAAAGCUCCCAAGUUGGAAAGGCAGAAAAGGCCUUUCAUUGCUUUUAUUUUAAGUUAGUAAGAAAAGCAAUAAUACUACAGCUGGGUGCAAUGGUCCAUGCCUGUAGCUCCAGCUACUCACGAGGCUGAUAUAGGAGGAUGGCCCAAGCCCAAGAGCUCAAGACGAGCCUGGGCAACAUAAUGAGAUCUUAUCCCAAAAAAUGGAAAAAUAGGCCAAGUAAUUUUUUUCAUUUUGGCUUUGAGCCAACAGAAUGGAAGGCAGUUAACUCUAAUGUGUUUCUGUGCUUUUUAUACCCAAUUGUUGGGUAGGAAAAUAUUGCUGGACAGGUUUGAAUCACUGUGAAGUUUAAGAUAUUCUCAGACAUUUCAGCCACAUUUACUCAUAUAGGACAUUAAAUGUAUUCAUUACAAGUCAUUUAUACAUAUAAUAAGAAAAUAAUCCAUCUCAUUAAGUCAGUUUCACAGUAUUGGAAAAUCUCCAGCAAUGGAAGAAUAAUAUAAUGACUACCACCCUUAUGUUUUAUUAAUGGGACUGAGCAACUUUUAUAUGGUUAUUUGCCCCUUUUGUCAAUUGCUUGCUUAAAUUUCUUGUCCAUUUUUUCUCAGUAUAGUUUAUAUUCCAGAUACUAAUCCUUUAUUCAUUAUCAUCAUAAAAAAUAACACCUCUUUUUAAAAAAAAAUUUUUUUUUUGGUACCGGGGAUCAAACUUGGGUCCUUGUGCUUGUGAGGCAAGCGGUGGAAACACUGAGCUAAAUCCCCAGCCCAAAAAUAACAUCUCUUUGUCCAUGAAUUUUUUUUGCCACUUUGAUAGUGUGUUUUAAUGAAUAGAUUUUGUUUCAUUUAUUUAUUUUCAUUGUUUAUUUUUUAAGGUGCUGAAGAUUAAAUCCAGAAGCUCUCCCAUGCUAGGCAAGUGCUCUAACACUGAAUUACAUUCCCAUCCUUUUAAAUAGUUUUUAUUUGAAAUGAUCUAAGCUAGAAAACCUGCAAACACAGUAAAAUUCCUUUUUUUUCCUUUCAAACUAUUUGAAAGUGAGUUGCUGUCUGAUGCUCCAUCGCCCUCGAAUACGUCAGUGUUAUUUUUUACACACAAGGACCUUCUCCCACAUAACCCCAGGAUUCCAGCAAAAUCAAGAAAGUCACAUGAAUACCGUCUGACCCUCAGACCCCUUCAUGUUUCACCUGUUGUCCCUGUCGAGUCCAGUACAGCAAAGGAUCCAGUUUAGCCUUCAGCUGCCAUCACUUUGAUGUCCCUUCCUUGGAAGACUCCCUUAGUCAUUCUUGGUCUUCGGGAACCUUUUGAAAAUGACAGGGCAGUCAUGUAGAGUGCCCCUCAAUUUGGAGAUGACUGAUGCUUCUUCAUAAUUAGAUUCAGGUUAUGUAUCUUUAGUUUUGGUUUUGCAGUACUGAGGAUUGAACCCAGCGCCUUCAAACUGUGCUACAUCCCUAGUCCUUUUUAAAAAAUAUAUUUUUAUUUUGAGGCAGGGUCUUGCUAAGUCACUCAUUUGCCCAGGCUGGGCUCCAAAUUGUAAUCCUCAUGCCUCAGCUCUCAGAGUGCUGGAAUUACAGGUGUGUGCCGUCAUGCCUGGCUUUAAUGUUUUUGAACAUUAUGUUACCCAGGCUAUGCAGGCUAUGUAUCUUUGUCAUAGAUGUUGCAGAAGUGAUCAGUUUGUCCUGCUAGCGGUGACAUUUCCUGUGAUCACCUGAUGAAAGCGAGUUUACCAGACUUCUCCACCAGAAAGUUGCUCUUCUUCCUUUUGUAAUUAAUGAGUAGUUUGUGCAAAAGCAUUGAGGGCAUGCAGAAAUCCUGUUAUCACAUUCUCACCUUAUUUAUUUAUAUCAGUAUGGAUUCAUGGUCCUCUAUUUUACUCUGAGUUACAUCUGUUAUUUUUAUUUAAAAAUUGUCAUAUUAUUUUUAGUAUAUAAGUUAGGAUAAAGAUGAAGAAUGAAGUAAGACAAGAAGAAAACACAUAGAGUCAUACAAAUAAUUGUACAUGGUACUGUGUGUAAGUGAGUGUGCCCAGCACAGGAACAGUGGAAUUCUCAGGAGUUUAGACUCAUACAUGUGUCUUUACAACAUUACCUGAAGAAGUCCACCUGGAAUUUCCAGGUGAGCACCCCUUCCUGGGGGAAUAAGGGAAUCACUGUGAUAACAAAGCUUCAGAUGCUAACUGUGCAUCAGGUACUGCUGUAAGUGAUUUACAGAUAUUAGCUUACCCACCUUUUGCAGUUGAGGAAACUGAGGCACAGAGGGACUCAGCAAGGGCUGCAGAAUUAGCAUGUGGCAGAGCAAGAUGUGUGGCUCUCACUACCACAUUCUUGCCUGUUUUUCUCUUCUGCCUCCAGAGGAUUCCCUCCCAUCCCCCCCUUACACCACUGCCCUCUGGUUACCACUGUGUAACCAUGAUCUAAGCCAGAUACAUAACUGUGCUGGGUGAGAAUGCAUUUUUAAAAAUUAAACCUUUGGGGGGUAAAGGGUAUAGCUCAGUGGUAAAGCAUAUACUUAGCAUGUGUGAAGCCCUAGAUUUAAUCCCCAGCACCAAAACAAAAAAAUCAAACUUUCUGAUUUUGAGAUCAUUGUGGGUUUUACAUAAAGCUAUAAGAAACAGCAUAGAGGGAUCUAUGUGUCCCUUCCCCAGUUUCCUCCAAUGGUGACACCUUCUGGAACUGCAGUACAAUGUCACAGCCAGGAUAGUGCCAUUGACACAGUCCCCAGCACGUCUCCUGUUAUCUUAUCGUAACCAUGCUUGCUACCCUUGCGCCCUCUUCCUCCCCUGUCUGUGUUCUCAAUCCCAACACUAAUCUGUUCUACCUCUAGAUUUUUAUUUCAAGACUACUCUGUAGAUGGAAUAAUAUGUACAUACCAGAGAUUGAACCCAGGACCUUGCACUUUCGAGGCAAGUGCGGCACCACUGAGCUAAAUCCCCGGCCCUCCAUUAUACAAUUUGAUGCUUAUUUACACUUUCAGUUUCUCACACCAGAGAAACUAUUUGGUAUUACACAUGUAUGUCCUAUUUAUUUCACUUAAGAAUAUGGCCUCAGUGUGCAUCAAUUUAGCUAUAAAUGUCUCUAGUUUCUCAUUCUUUAUGGCUGAGUAGUACUCCAUUUUAUUAAAAAACCCACAUCUUCUUUAUCCAGUUUCCAGUUGAUGGGCACAUGGGCUGUUUCCAAGUUUUAGCUAUUACAAACUGUGCUGCUAUGAACAUGGGUGCACAUAUAUCACUGUGGUAUGAUUCUUUUAAUUCUUUUGGGAAGAUACCCAGCAGGGGAAUAGCUGGGUCAAAUGAAACCUCUAGUUCUAGUUCUUUGAGGUAUCUCCAUACAGAUUUCCAUGGUGGUUACACCAGUCUACACUCCCACCAAGAGUGGAGAAGGGUUGCUUUUUCCCCACAGCCCCGCCAAUAUUUGUUAUUGUUUGAUUUCAUGAUAGCAGCCAUUUUUUCUGGGGUAAGGUGAAAUCUUAGAGUUGUUUUCAUUUUCGUCUCUCGAAUAACCAGGGAUGUUGAACAUUUUUCCAUAUCUUUCUUUACUAUUUCUACUUCUUUGUCUGAGAAAUGUCUGUUCACUGCCCAUUUUUGGAUCAGGUAUUUAAAUUUGGGAGGUCUAAUUUUUUAAAGUUCUUUAUAUAUUCUAGAUAGCAGUCUUUUGACAAACAGCUGGUAAAAUUUGUUCCCCACAUUGUGGGUUGCCUCUUCAUGCUGUGGGUGGUUUCUCUUGCUGUGCAGAAGCUUUUUAAUAAGAAGAGAUCCCACUUGUUUAUUAUUUGUGCUAGUUCAUGGGCAACUGAGGUUUUGUUCAUAAAAUCUUUUCCUACACCAAUGUCUUCAAGAGUUCUACCUAACCUUUAUUCCAGCUGGCUCAGCGUUUCUGUUUUAAUAUUUAGAUCUUUCAUCCAUUUAGAUUUUACUUCAGUGCAUGCUGAGAGAUAUAGGUCUAGUUUUAAUCUUUGGCAAGUUGAAACCCAAUUUUUUCAGCACCAUUUAUUAAAGAGGCUAUCUUUCCUCCAGUGAGGGUAUUUGGCUCCUUUGUUGAAGAUGAAGUGGUUGAGUGUUUCUGGAGUUGUUUUUGCAUCUUCUAAUCUGUUCCACUGGUCCUCAGGUCUGUUUCUUUGCCAGUACCAUAUUGUUUUUAUCACAGUAGCUUUGUAGUAUAGUUUCAAGUUGGGGAUUGUGAUACCCCCUACCUUGUCUUUGUUGCCUAGAAUUGCUUUUGCUAUUCUAGGUCUCUUUUUGUUCCAAAUGAAUUUUUGGAUUAUUUUUUCAAGAUCUGUGAAGUAUGCUAUUGGGAUUUCAAUUGCGAUUGCAUUGAAUCUAUAUAGCAGUUUUGGAAGUAUGGCGAUUUCCACUACAUUAGUUUUUCCUACUCAGAAACAGGGGAUAUCUUUCCAUUUUCUGAUAUUCUCUUCAAUCUCUUUUUUCAGAGUAUUACAAUUUUCAGAGUAGAAGUCUUUGAUAUCUUUCUUUAGGUUGAUUCCUAGGUAUUUCAUUUUUUUGGAUGCUAUUGUGAAGGGAGUUGUUUCUCCAGUUCCUCUUUCAGUGAGUCUGUUGUUUGUGUAGAGGAAAGCUAUUGAUUUCGGUGUGUUGACCUCAUAUCCAGCUACUCUACUGAAUUUGGUUAUUAAGUCUAGAAGACUUUUGGUGGAGUUCUUGGGCUCUUCUAUAUAGAGUAUCAUGUCAUCUGCAAAUAAUGACAAUUUGAGUUCUUCGUUUCCUAUCUUUAUUCCUUUUAUUUCUUUCUCUUGUCUAAUUGCUAUGGCAAUGUUUCCAAAACUAUAUUGAACAGGAGUGGUGAUAGUGGACAUCCUUGUCUUGUUCCUGAUUUUAGUGUGAAGGAUUUCAGUUUUUGACCAUUUAGCAUGAUAUUGGCUGUAGAUUUUUCAUAGAUGGCUUUCAUCAGAUUGGGAUAGAGACAAUGUAUUUCAAUUUUUUGUAGGGUUUUUAUCAUGAACACAUGUUGGAUUUUGUCAAAUGCUCUUUCUGCAUCUAUUGAGAUGAUCGUAUAGUUUUUGUCCUUGGCUCUAUUGAUAUAGUGUAUUACAUUGAUUAAUUUGCAUAUGUUGAACCAUCCCUGCAUCCCUGGAAUGAAUCCCACUUGGUCAGGGUGUAUGAUCUUCUUGAUGAUCUUCUGCAUUCUAUUUGCCAAUAUCUUAUUAAGGAUUUUUUGCAUCUAUGUUCAUUAGUGAGAUUGGCCUCUAGUUCUCUUUUUUGGUUGGGUCUUUCUCUGCUUUGGGGAUCAAAUUGAUGCUUGCUUCCAGGAAUGAAUUUGGGAUUAUUGCUUCCCCUUCAAUUUCAUUGAAGAGUUUAAACAGUAGUGGCAGUAGUUCCUCUCUAAAUGUUCUUGUAGAAUUUAACAGAGAAGCCAUCAGGGCCCAGAAUUUUCUUAUUUGGUAAGCUUUUAAUUAAUUAUGUUUUCAAUUUCAUUGAUUGAUAUUGGGUUGUUUAGAAUUUUUAGGUCUUCUUCGUUCAACUUUGGAAUUCGUUCAUAUCUAGGAAUCUGUCCAUUUCUUCUGUGUUUUCCAUCUUAUUGGCAUAUAGGUUCUUGAAGUAGGUAUUGAUGAUCCUCUAGACUUCUGCUGGGUCUGCUGUAAUUUCAUCCUUUUCAUUCCUAAUUGUAUGGAUUUGGGCCUUUUCUUUUUUUUUUUUUGAUAAGGUUGGCUAAGGGUUUGUCAAUUUUGUUUAUUCUUUCAAAGAACCAAAUCUUUGCUUCAUUGAUUUUUUUGUAUCAUUCUCUUAGUCUCCAUUGCAUUGAUUUCUGCUCCACCUUUAUAAUUUCCUCCCUUCUAUCAGCUUUGGGUUUGCUGCUCUUCUUUUUCUAGAAGUUUGAGGUUCAGCAUCAGGUUAAUUGGUCUCACUCUGUUUUCCUAAUAUGAGUAUUCACUGCUAUGAAUUUCCCUCCUAAGUCUGCUUUCAUUGUGUCCCAUAGAUUGUGAUAUGUUGCAUUGACAUUGUCAUUUAAUUGUAGAAACUGUCUGAUUUCUUCUUUAAUUUCCUCUGUGACCCAUUGGUUAUUCAGAAGUGUGUUGUUGAAUUUCUAUGUGUUUAUGAAAUUCUUGUAGUUUCUUUUGCUAUUGAUCUCCAAUUUCAUUGCACUAUGGUCUGAUAAUAUACAGGGGAUAACUUCAAUUCCUUUGAAGUUACUUAAACAUGUUCUAUGAGCAAGUAUGUGGUCUAUUUUGGUGAAUGACCCAUGUGCAGCUAAAACGAAUGUGCAUUCUGAUUUUGUGGAGUGGAACACUCUGUAAAUAUCUGUUAAGUUCAUUUGUUCAAGAGUUUGACUGAGGGCUGGGGAUUUAGCUCAGUGGUUCCACCGCUUGCCUUGCAAGCACAAGGACCCGAGUUUGAUGCCCAGUACCAAAAAAAAAAAAAAAAAAAAGGAGUUUGCUUGAGUUCUAGUAUUUCAUUGUUUAUUUUUGUGUAGUUGAUCUAUUUGUGACAGUGGGGUAUUGAGGUCACCCAUUACUGUUGUAGUAGUGCUUAUUUGAUUUUUCAUAUCUGUUAGUAUUUGUUUUAUAUAGUCAGGCACACUAGUGUUUGGUGCAUAUAUAUUAAUGAUUGUCAUCUCUUUCUCUUGGAUUGUUCCCUUUACAAGGAUGUAGUGUCCUUUUUUGUCCCUCUUAAUCAGUGUUGGUUUGAAAUCCAUUUGAUCUGAAAAUAGGAUAAGUACUCUUGCUUUUUUUUUGGUUCCUGUCAGGUGGAGUAUUGUUUUCCACCCUUUAACUUUCAGUCUGAGUUUCUUUUUGAAUCCAGUGUGUUUCUUGUAUGUAGCAUCUUGGUGGAUCUUGCUUCUUGACCCAUUCUACCAGCCUAUUUCUUUUGAUUGGUGAAUUGAGACCAUUAACAUUGAUGGUUAGAACUGAUAUGUAUUUAGUUAUCCUUGUCAUGACUUUUUCUUUUUGUUGGAUUCUCCCCCUUCGCAUUUAAUUUCUUGUCGUGCUUGAUGGAUUCAUUGUGCUGGGCUUCCUGGGGUUGUGAUCCUCAUUGUCUUUUCCUAGGAUAUUGUUUAAAUUCUUUGGAGUGCUGGUUUGCUAUUCAUGAAGUUCCUCAGGUGCUCUUUGUCAUGAAAGUAUCUUAUUUCUCCAUGAAUUUUGAAAGAUAGUUUUGCAAGGUCCAUCAAUCUGGGUUGGAGGUUAUUUUCCUUUGGGGCUUGAAAUAUGUCACUCCAAGUUCUUCUUGCCUUGAGGGUUUGUAUUGAGAAGUCUGCUGUGAUUCUGAUGGGCUUUCCUUUGUAUGUGAUUUGUUUGUUUUCUCUAAAUGCUUGUAGAAUUUUGUUCUUUGGUUGGGUUUUUGGAAUGUUAACUAUUAUAUGUACAGGUGUAGAUUUUUUGAUCUUAUCUAGUUGGAGUCCUAUAUGCCUCACUGAUAUAUCUGAACAAGUUUUUUUUAUGUCAUUUGCACUCUCUUCUGUUUCUUCAUUUGCUCUGAUCAGUCUUAUGUUAUUAUUUUUUGCAUCAUCUGGCAGCUGCUGGAUUGAUUUCUUGUGGUUCCUUACUAUUUUUAAGAAUUUUUUCUUUUUCUGGUCACUAAUUGCAACCCUGUCUGCUAUAUCUGAUAUUAAGUCCUCACAUUGCUCAUCCUGCUCUGUAAAUUUUCAGUGGAGUUUUUUUUGGUUGUUUGUUUGUUAACAGGGAUCAAACUUGAGUCCUUGUGCUUUUGGGGCAGGCAGCAGAACCACUGAGCUAAAUCCCUGGCCCUCAGUGGAGGUUUUUUUUUUUUUUUUGCUACCGGGGAUCGAACUCGGGUCCUUGCACUUGCGCAGCAGGUGACGAAACCACUGAGCUAAAUCCCUGGCCCUGUCAGUGGAGUUUUUAAUCUCCUGGAAAUGUGUUUGCAUCUCUUUUAUGUAUUCCAUUUGUUUUCUAUUUUGGGAUUUCAUCAUGUUCCUCAGCUCCUCUGUUUUUUUUUAGAUCUGUGUCUGCUUUAGAUUUACUAAUCAUGUCUUGCACUAUGGACACAAUCUCUGUUGUUAUCUGAAUAAUUAUUUCUGAUUUAAUUUUUUCCAGGUCCUCUUUCGUUGUCAGUUCAGGGAGUCCAGGUGGUUGAGUAUCAUAUUGUUCCAUCUCAUUUCCCUUUGGGGUUACCUUAGAUGAUCUGGAAGUCUGGUUUUGAGACUUGUUUAUGUGUCUUCUCAUUUCAACAGAUACAGCCUGCUGCAUCUUUGUGGAGGCAAUUUUUUGCUUACCCAAUGGUCUUUAAUUCUCAGCAAGCCACCAAGUGGCUUUUCUCUGCUGCUCACCCAGUACACCAAUUCCUGGGAUCAGAGUAGUGGCCUUCUGGUUCCCUGCACUGUCCUGUUGUCUGGGCAAAGUUGUGGGUGGGGCCUGUGCACACUUGGGAUUGUAUUUAGGCAUGCCUCUGUCUGGGGUCUGCCCAACUAUGUAGCUAUUGUCUGGGAGGGCCUUUGGCUGGGGGAUGUGCAACCCACUCACUGGUGUCUGGCUGGGCUUCUGGCUGGGAUCUGUGUGUACUUAUCAAUGGUAUCAGGGGAGCCUCUGGCUGUUGCUUGUGUGCCUGUGCAGCUCUUUUCCAGGUGGGUUUUUGUCUCAGACCCCUGGGCCCAAGUGUCCAGGGUCGGGGUGGGGAUCUGGCUGAACCUGCCUGAAGCCGAACUGCUCUGAACCACACCGGCUUCUCAUUGGGAUUUGUGCAUGUACCAAUGGUAUCAGGACAGGCCUCUAGCUUAGUGUGUUUUUUUGUAAAAAAUUAAUUUUAUUGGUACAUUUUAGGUAUACAGUGUAAUGACAUUCAUCAUCGGAAAUUUGCACCUUUACAUAAUCUCUCUUGGUUCUUAUUUUUUCCCCUUUCCCCUGCCCUCCCUGAAACCCCUCCACACCUCCCUAUUUACAAAGACUUUGUUUCCAUUUUUUCAUUUUCUCAUAUUAAUUCCAUUCCCUUCUUUCCUUUCCCCACCCCUCCCACUUCCCCUUCCCCUUUGCACCUUUUCUUCCUAUUUCACAUUAUCUAUUAUACCUUUUAGUCCUU
ensembl:lncRNA